CUCAAAAGUAUACAGAGGAAAUAAGACGUUCAUCUGACGCUACUUCAUACUAUGAACUAAAUGAAUAACAUGACAAAUGAUCACCUGAUUAUCCUGUUUCAUAUCGUAUGUCUCCACAGCUUGUGUAAUAGUGUAACCAAUGUCAAUCUGCUGGCUUCAGAUGUUUGUGUGUCAUUGUAGUUAAAACGGAGAACUUUAAGACUCACGGUGACACAUUUGGAGACGAGUGCUGCAAAAAUGACUCAGAACAAUCUCUAUAAUAUAAUGAAGUAAAAGGAAUCGGGUUUGAGUAUCAACCACCCCGCGACUCCCAAAUGGCAGUUGGCGCGCAAAAUGGGAACAAGUAGGACACGUUUGGGAUUAGUUGCACCUUUGGGAGUAAAACAGCAGCGUGGUGACGAUAUCAAAUCUGUGGUCAAUAAUCCCUCGUUGUUGUUGUACACAGUAGCCACUAAUCUAAAAAGCCAAUACAAUUAAUUUAAUUCUGGUAAGUAAAGACAUGUCAAGUUUAAUGUUGUCCGUUGAAAUGCCCACAGUUAAAUGUUAAUAUUGAGUGUGGAAUUUAAAUUUUGGACCUUUAUGUUCUAUUGAAAACCCAAAUUGUCUUCCAAACCAGAGCAAUGUUCAAGCCUGCUGCUCGUCAUUUGUUGUCCAUCUAUUUCUCCAUGGAAACCUCAACUCGAGUGUUUGCUUGGUGCAGAAAUGCUCGUCCAGUGGAGCCGUAGAAGUACAGAAUGCAUCAUUUCCAAAGGCAGGUCUCCAGUGCUGCCCAGUGGAGUGGACAGGGGGACAAUGGACCCAUUAUCAGUGCGUUGUUCUGUCACCAGUCUCUGUCCAGCACAAUCCCAGCAGCAACCCCCCUUCCACUUGCCUCCAUGUCUACAUAGUACCGUGAAAGCAUGUGUAUGUUUACACCAUGCAGAUCCUACCGUGUGUUUUACGCUACACACACACACACACACACACACACACACACACACACACACACACACACACACACACACACACACACACACACACACACACACACACCAUCAAUGUCAUCUGGAAAAAAACAAUGCAUUUCUCAACAAUGCAUUUUGGAGGUAUUUAUUUAGGGUUUUAAAAGGAGAGCACACCCACUCUGCUGCCCGGUUAGCCACAAGCUUUGGAGCGUUUACUGGUUGUCUCCCACAUCACUAUUGCUGUUACUAGUGAUAGUGACUAUCUUCUAAACCGGAUCCAUUUGGUGUCGCCUCGUGCGAGGAAACGUUAGCAACAGCUAGCAAUGGCUAAACACGUUCUCUCUUCCUAAUGAUGUUCUGUGAUCGUCUUGACGGUAUUCAAAAUAUAUACAUUUCAAUCUAAAGUUUUUUUUCUUUUUUGCAUGUUUGAAUGUAAAAGUAAGAAGCUUCGAAUGCUAACCUCCUAGAAUAAUGUUUUAAUUGGAAUCCAGCUGGACCGGUGUUUGAGAUGCUUCGGCACCAGGGCCGAUUGCGGUGCCCCUUUGAAUGAACACCACCUGCUUUAUGCAGAGAUCUGCUUCUGAGUCACAUGACCUGGCGUCACCUAUCGGAUGACUCAACUUGUCAAAACUAAAAGAGAGGACUCGGGGAGAGACAGAAGACCACUGCCUGUGAGAAGAUCUCACAUUACCUUGGAUCCAUAAAGAAAAAGGUCUAAAACAAGCUAAGAACUUGUCUGGCCUUGUUUCCUCUGGCAGAGGACUCGGGGAGAGACAGAAGACCACUGCCUGUGAGAAGAUCUCACAUUACCUUGGAUCCAUAAAGAAAAAGGUCUAAAACAAAUAAAGGAUAUCUCAUAAAAUCCACAGUGAAACAAGCAGGAGGACCAUGUGAAGAAGGUAUUAUCGUGCAACCCUUUCCCAGAUCAGGACCCGUAUGGGACCCAUCGUCCCUCCAUGAAGCCACAAGAGCUCCAAACCGCAACAGAAAGGUCCAAUAAGAGGCCGGAGAAAAGGGGAUUGUUUUGAUUAAAAGACAAUUAUCUGUGCGCAUGGACUUCCCAGUGUUGUGCGGUGUCAGGCUCCAGCUGAGCUGCUCCGUCCCAGAAGGCCUCGGGAGACAAUGGCCACUGUGUCCACAGGGUGGGGGGGUUGUUUCAUGACUCGGUCACAGCACCAUGCAACUGUGUGAAUACUGUUAAUGCCACGUAUGGGCUUAGUAGUGGGACGGUUACCCCGAAGUUGAUGUUCAAUCACCUGAAAACGACUAAACAACAAUGGGGUGAAGGCGUAAAUCGGCCUUUAAAUUAGUCUCCAGGUGGAACUCAUCAAGUUCAAAUAAUUCGCUGGGCUUUAUCCUGGAGCCCAGCAAAUGUAGUUAUUAGUUAGUAUUAGUCGAGACCGGGACGUGAACAGUAAUGCAGCGCAGUUAUUGUAAUUAUGUGUUUUCAACCAUUCAGUUCGUCAUGUAACUUUUAUGAAGCAUUUCGGGGUAGAGAGCUGAAAUGCUAUAAAGGUGCCUGCAACUGGCCUAUAUUGUGAGAUAUCAGUAGGCGUACAUCAAAGAAUUAUUUUAGUGAUCAGAAAACAGACAUUUUGACAAAAUGCUAGCUGCGCGAGCUAACAACGUUAUGAUGUAUUAUAACAAUGUAAUAGUGAGUGCCGGCUCUCCUCUUUUUCCUGCUGAUGCCUCACGUUUUAUUGCCUGUUUCCUCUGAUUAGGAGCUUAUUGAAACAUGGUUAUAGAUUCUUCACGGCAUCCCGUCCCUCGGCAGCUUUUAGCUAGCAGAAUGGCUAGCAGCCAUUGGUCGACUAUCGUUUUUUACAUCAUGUUAGUUAUUUUUCUUGUCAAACUUAUUAAUGCUAUGUAAUGCGUUUUGGAUUUUUAAAUCAAGCUACAGUAGUAAUUGCAGUUUGAGGUUUUAAAAAUCAAAACAAAUUAACUUUCUGUGAGUUGAUUUUUUCCUUUGAGUGAAAUCGUUGGAAACCUUUUGCUGCCCAGAAGGUGGGAAGGCACUCGAUUUAUCUUGAACCGUUACGUCGCGCUCAAUGUGAUGGUUCUUCAGAUUCUCUCGACUCUUAAGUUUCUUUAGGAGUAACAGAUUAGACUCAAAGGCGUCCUCAAUGCUUCCCCUCAUAAUGGCGCCCGUCAUCAGCCUCUCUAAAACUCACUUCCUGUCUUUUGUUACAAAAACCUCGAAACAAAAAAGUGUCCAUAUGUCUGAAAUGACCAAAUAUGCUCAGUUCCAUCCAGCGUCCAGCGACUGUCCGUGUGGGAUAGAAAGGCCUCAGAGCUCAAAGCCUCUCCCUUAUCUGCUGGGGCGGGCGUAACAGUGUGGCCCUUUGUGGCCCCCCCGUGUAUUUAUGAAUGGCCGAGCCUUAGGGCGAAGCCUCAGAACAAUGCCGCUACACUGAAGGACUGGUUUUCCUACGGGGGGGUGGUGAUGAUGGUGAUGGUGAUGAUGAUGAUGAUGGAGGAGGAGGUGUUGGUGGCGGGUUGACUCCCCACCGUUGGGGCUUGGUACAGAGAGUGGCGAGAGGUCUGGCUGGCGAGGGGGCUUUGCGCGUGAGACUCAGAGGGAAGGCUGCUGGAGCUACUGGAGGUCGUAGGUCGCCCACGCUCACCUACACAGAGAGGAGGCCUGUGGCUCACCAUCUGCCCGCCGGGGCCGGGAAUGCCAGGUGAAAAAAGGCAUUCUGAUACGAGCGGCCAAACCAACAGAGAAUUAAAGGGAAAGCAAACAAAUAAAUGUAGACUCAGAGCCACAUGCACGGGCCAAUAAAUACCAAGAAAGGUAAUCUUCCAGGUGGUUUAUGACACCUGCUCCCUCGUUUCAAUAAGUUAACAACCACCUACUUUGUGGGCAUAGAAAAUAUAAAUACUUAACGCAUCGAGCACUUCAAAGCAUCUACUGUAAGAGGCAACGGUUUUAUUGCAUCUGAUGAGCUGAAGUGUGGAUCUUUUCCUCCUGCCGGCGCCCUGCGCGGUGCCUUCGGCAACAGACCGUGUGACUGAACGUUGGCACGUCUCCGUGGUUGUGUUUGAAGCGAGUGUGCGCUGUUCUCAGGGCGGUGUGUGUGGGAGGGGGAGCGGUCAUGUUUUAAGACCAUCUGCUCCUCUGAGUAUUUUAGUGUGUGUGUGUGGGGGGGGGGCCUUAGCUUGCGUUGGACCAACGCGCGUCACGGGCAAACAGCAGAACGCAAGCUGUGAGCGGGCCUGUUCCGGAGAAAAAAAUUCCUCCACUUUCACACAAUGGGCAGUGUUCUGCAUACAAGGUUCCCAUUCUCCCCCACCACACCCGCCCCGUGUCCAAGAGCCCGAGCAAAACUCCUGUACACGGGCCACGGACGACAUUCACAAUGAAAAUGUUCUUCUUGGCACAGGCGAUUGUUUGUGCGAGCCCUUUGGUUGGCGUGAGACAUCUCAAUAAUGGAAGAUGACUCAUAAAAGGUGUCGUGGCCUGAUUGAGCGGAGCCGAUUUUUCUCCCCGCAUCGCGUUGCUCUUUAGACAUUGGAAAAAGGCAGAAAAUGUUGACCACAUGGCUUCUUUCUCAUUGACGGAGACAAACGUGACAUAAGUGUGUUCGUCUGGACCCUCACUCGGCCGCACGCUUCAUGUGCACACAAUGCCUACGGUCCCAGAAGGACAAUAGAGCAGGCUGAGCUUCCACUCAGCGGAGGAAGGUCACAUAUCUGCACACCCCACGCUGCGUAGUGUGUUUGCUCGCCUCGCGCUGCGUGUGUGUGUGUGUCUGUGUGUGUGUGCGUGGGCGGUGUGGCACGCUGCGUAUUCGUUUGAUCGAGGCUCCCGAGCGUCGCGGCAGCGCUCUCCCCGUCAGCUCUUGUUGACGGCGGGAUUCCCUCGAGGUCAUCGGCCGCUCGGGCCAUGCCGUCAUCUGGCCGCAGGCCUGGAGGGCUUUGGGCCGCAGUGACUCACCCUAACAUGAGAGUGGCAAAGAAAAGUUGCCUUUGUCACUUUUGUCAUGUAAACUAGGUGGACAUCGGAGUGAAUCCACGCUUGUGCGUCCCUGCCCACAGAAAUUCCUCCGCAGGGGAAAUAUUAAUACGGCUUGAAAGAUCAAUGAUGCCCUGAAGCUUUCUCUAGAAUUCAAAUGGUCUUGCGUUGGAUGUGUGUGAUUGAGGCUCUUUAAGACGCUGAUGUCUGACAAACCCUAAUCAAAGUAGUGUAGAUCUGUAAUCCACAUAACCACGUUGCAGCAUUUCAACAACAUUGACAUUAGACAUCAAAGCGUUGAUCUCAGAGGGACGGAUGAGGGAGACGGUGGAACCAAGGCGAGGAAUGCAGAGUGGGCCAAAGUUCGGCUCCAGAAAUGCCCGAACGCAUAUUCAUAGCCGCCCACGACAACCCCCCCCCCCCCCACCCCCUCUUUCCCCAUCUGACGUGGAGGAUUCGGAGCAAAGACGAGCGACUCAGGAGAACAGACACAGCGGGGCGGAUGGGGGGGGGCAAGAAGUUGAGCAGGAGCCUUGUGCUGAGGCGAGUGGUUUGUGUGCGCACGUAUGCUGUGUGCUCAGUGCCAGCCGUUUGCCCAUCCCAUCAAUGAGGCCGUUGUUGUUGUGGUUGGGGGGGAGCGGCGGCCUGGCGGCUCGGCCACUCCGCUUCCGGUGACACUCGCCUGUCUCUUGGCCUUUUGUUGCCGUGCGGGUGGUGGAGCCACAUUGGAGUUACGGCGGAACAGUUGCGUCACUCUAGUGAGACGUCUCAAAGUGGUGAUGAUCAAUUAUUUAUUUCACGUGGUAAGAUUUGAACGUAGAGAGUCAGUCAUCUGCUUAAUAAAGCCAUCAGUAGAUGGUGGAGACCAAAACAGAGCUAAAAUAAGGGGUCAAAAAGCUUACAAAUGGAUUAUGUUACUUUGGAAAUUCUGCUAACGAUUUCACUGCAUCAACUUAGAAAUUAAUGCUAAAUAUUCUUCUUAAAAACUAAAAGAAGAGUGGCAAUUUUCCAAGGAAAAUUCCAGUGAAAACAUUCUGUGCAUUUGUGACUGGAUGGUGGACGGUGAGCAGCAGGACAAAUCCAACAUAAAAUAACAGCGUUUUUCACUCCCCUCCAACC